GGCUCCAUCGUCUAACGGUUAGGACAGCGGCUUUUCAAGCCGUUAACAGGGGUUCGAUUCCCCUUGGAGCUACCA
rnacentral:tRNA from 1 species